GACGAACGCUGGCGGCGUGCUUAACACAUGCAAGUCGAGCGGUAAGGCCCUUUCGGGGGUACACGAGCGGCGAACGGGUGAGUAACACGUGGGUGACCUGCCCUCAGCUCUGGGAUAAGCCUGGGAAACCGGGUCUAAUACUGGAUAUGACUCCAUGACGCAUGUUGUGGGGUGGAAAGCCUUGUGCGGCUGAGGAUGGGCCCGCGGCCUAUCAGCUUGUUGGUGGGGUGANGGCCU
rnacentral:rRNA from 1 species